rnacentral:misc_RNA from 1 species
AUAAGCGCCACAAAUACACAAGUGUUUACUUCUCCCUUAUCGCGAUGUCUACUGUACGAACAGACAACAACUCACACACAAAGCCCCCCCCCUCUCGCGAUGGUCGACUAUCAUAUAUACGCAACGCAGCAAAAAGAAAAAGAGGUAGAAGAGAGUAGAGAAAAAGAAAGAACAAAACCAAAAUUAACACGAGCGUGAUCUCUUGGUUUUUACAUGUGUGUGUUUGUUUUUUUGCCUGCGCAUUUUUCUUUUCUUCUUUACAACGCUGGUGGUGCGACUCCGCGUGCGUUGUUUAGUAGCCCACAAAGACCAAAAAUCCUUCAACCGUCUUUUCUCUGUCGCAGUUGUGUCAUUACACCUUCACCCGUUUCUCCUUCCUCGAGCGCUCUUCAUGUUGCCCCUCUCGUUUUUCCCUCUCUCUCUUGUCGUUGAAAUUACCUGUGCGGUGUGUGUGUGUGCGUCUGCACGGUGCGGCGUUUUCUUUGUGUUUUGUUGUGUGUUUUGUUGUAGCUGUUUCCUUUUCUGUUUGCUUUUUGAUGAUGCGCCGCCCUCCUCCUCCUCCCUUUUCUUUUUUUUUUUCGUCCCGCCAGCAGACCUGUCUCGCUCUCGCUCUCUCCCUCUCUCUUGUUGCUACGCUGGUUUCCCCUCCCCGCCUGCUUUCCGUGGAAAGCGGCGCCGUGCGCUUUUGAGUGUACGCGUACGAAUCCCGCAAGAAGGGGAAAGGCUGUUUGAUAGCCAAACGCAGACGGGCACACACACACGCAGAGCGAGUGGCGUGCAUCAGAGGCCCGAAAGAACCGCAUUCCAUGCCAAGCACGAGAGGACGAAAAAAAUAAAAGGAGCGCGAUGCGAGUGGCGACGGAGAGGCUCUCGCCGGUGCAGCCGAGCCCCGCGAUCGUUGUGCUGAGUCUCUUUCCGGUCUGCACCCCUCUCUCUUUUGGCCGGUCAACCUUGACGGUGCAGCGGGCAUCCUAACGGAGAGCAGGGCGUCCGAGAGAGGCGAAGCAGGUACAUAGCAAUGUCACGAGAUUACGGCAAGGAACAGACAAGACGCCUGACGUGGCUAGAAGAGUGCAAGAGACAUCGCUGCACUCAGGCUCGCCUGCGUGAUGGAGUGAGGUGUCAAAGGUAGAAACGAAGCAUACCUUUUCUUCGCGUGUUUUCACGGUACCCACUUCCCUGCCGUACAACAGGAGUCAAACGCCACUCUAACCCCUGACCCGUCACGAGGCUCCAUCGUGUGGCGCGAAGCAGCCGCAAACGCGCGCGCUGCAGCAGUGCAUGCUCGGUUAUACAAGCAGGGUUCGGCAUCAAACCCUACCCACCAUCACCCGCCUCGCAGGUCGCCUCACAGGCGCACUCCUCGCGGUGGUUCAGGCGCCCCACACCAAUAGACACUGAGAGACUGGUUAGGUACGUUCGGGUCGCGCUGACACUCUGCCCAUCAUGUGGAUGGCGCAAGCGUGUGCACUGUCGCGGGUUGCUCUGACGCAACGCCAUCCAGGCUCUCAUCGCCGGCAUCAGCAGUGGCACAUCGCCCCAACCUCCCCACGUCGUAGGCACUUGUCCCUGUCACCACCAGAGGUGGUUCGGCAUUUUUCAGGGCCGGCGAUGCGGACCGGCUUCCUCCCACACAAGGCGGGUGUGCUUGAACCUUUGAAAUAUCACGCCUCGAGGUGCCCCCCCUCCCUCUCGCCUCGUCAUCGGGGGCGCAGCGGCAAAGAAACGAAAAAGAGAAGAAGAAAGGAGGCUGAGAUGGGGCAGAAGGGAAAGAUCCGCGCCGCGCGCCCUACGAAAAGUUUGGCGCGUACGCCAAGACCACAAUCCGAGGACGGAAAAGAAGGACGACGUCAGCGCAGGAAUGUCCAUCGCCAUGGAAAACAAAGAGGAAAAUGAAAACGAUGGCCGAAGCGCAGCAGAAAGGGCCAAAGGACAACAGAGAGAAAGAGAGUGGUGGCGGGGUGAGCGCGAAUACGGGCCGCCCAAGCACGUCGCUGGUGGAGAAGAGGCCAGAAGAAAGUCGACGAGCACAGGUGUCGCCGUGGCAUUGGCGUAACAGACACGUGGAUGGGUGUGCAUGCAUCGCUGUGUGUAUGCUACUUUUGUUGAACCGUGAAACGCACGCUUUGGCUGAUCGCUUGCACUCGACCCUUCGGGCUUCAGUUCCUCCUUUGCCUCCCCGCACUUACCCACCCCACACACGCGAUUGCAGUCUCCACCGCGAGCCGAUGACCUGUGCGCCGGCACACGCUCGCUCUCUUCCUCUUGCUUAAUCAGAUGCCAUUAUAUAAGCUCCUAAUCCCCAAGCGGAUGUCAAACGUAAACCUGCUUCUCCGUGUUUGUGAGCAAUUCAGCGCAGGCCGCGCAAAGCCUCCGUUUUUUUGUUUUGUUCCCCACCCACCCCAGAUGCAUGUGGGCAAGUCUCAGCGCUUCUUUUUCGGUGUGGCCUGUUCGAUUUGUCUUGUUCUUGACGUACUCUUGCUCUCCUGUUUUUUAUUUUCUGUUGCUGUUUCUCUCUUCUGCGGCAGCAGGUACUUCUCAGGCGCGUGCGUUGUUCCUUCGUUUGAUUCGUUGUUUCCCGUUCCCUCGAGCACGCAGCACUUUGGCUGCUUCUAAUGAAGCGGAGCAUGGAUAUAACCGCGCUCACACACACACACAUACGCUUGUAUGCCUACACUUGUACGUCGUUGGUGGAUGUUUUUUCUACUCCCUUUUUCCCCUGUUUGGGGGAGGGAGGGGGGCUUCGCCAGCUCUCUUUCUUCUCUUGUGUUUGUGGGUUUCUUUGUUUCUUCUUUGCAUCUCCAUCUCCUCUUCAGCGCUCUCACUCUCUCCCCAUCUAUCUAUCUGCGUGUGUGUGUGUGUGUGUGUGUGUGUGUGUGUGUUUGUGUGUUUUUCAUGUGCUCCUUUUCCUUCUUUAUUGGUCUCUUCUCCUAUUGUUGUUGCUUGGUUGGCUGGUUGGUUUCACUUGAAGGUUUUUUGGGGUUUUGCGUCCCUCUGUGCUUGCUGUCAUUAUUCUUUUUUUCCCUUCUGUUUCUCCAAUAUGCCCACCCACUCACUUCACUUGUCCUCCUGCCCCUCCCCCCAACACACACACCGCCAGUCUCCGUCUACACCUCUUGUGCGAUUUCCGGAAUAAAUUCGACGAAGAACAACAACAGAAUAAAAAGAUGAUCAGUAUAUGAUUCUUUUGUUUUCGCGUGUGUGUGUGUAUGCGUCCCCCACCCUCCUCCCGCACACACACACACACACAUCACCCUUCCCUGGAGCUGUUCAAUCCUCAAGACAAUGUGAAACGGAAGCCAGUCUGUUUUUUUUGUUGUUGGUGUUAUUCAAGAGAGGCCAAUGUCGCCGCGGCGGCAAAAGCCGCUUUCUCAAUGAAUUGAU